UAAAAAAUAAAUGACAGCUGUUCAUCGGAACCAUUACAUGUGUCACCAAAUGUAGACCACCCGCGAACCGGUCGGUAAUUGGGAAUCAACUCGUAGACGUCCCCGUGACAUACGGAUUCGAGCCGUGAUUCGCCGAUACCCAAUUAGCCGACUGCACGUUCCACUAACGCAUAAACCGGUAUCCGACAAUAACGGAAAAGUUUUCGAUUCGCCGACUGAUCGAAAUUUUACAAAAGGCGAAAUGCAAAAACAAUUUUUAUGCGGAAGUCUAGAAUGUUAUACGGUCU